UACGAAGGGGGCUAGCGUUGCUCGGAAUCACUGGGCGUAAAGCGCACGUAGGCGGCUUACUAAGUCAGGGGUGAAAUCCUGGAGCUCAACUCCAGAACUGCCUUUGAUACUGGUGAGCUUGAGUCCGGAAGAGGUGAGUGGAACUGCGAGUGUAGAGGUGAAAUUCGUAGAUAUUCGCAAGAACACCAGUGGCGAAGGCGGCUUUCUGGUCUGCUCUUGACGCUGAGGCGCGAAAGCCAGGGGAGCGAACGGG
rnacentral:rRNA from 1 species